rnacentral:pre_miRNA from 1 species
CUGUCAAAGAGGCGGUGAAAUGUCCUUUUCCCUUCAUAUCACAGCCACUUUGAUGUGGU